rnacentral:rRNA from 1 species
AGCAGCCGCGGUAAUUCCAGCUCCAAUAGCGUAUAUUAAAGUUGUUGCAGUUAAAAAGCUCGUAGUUGAAUUUCGGAAUCGACGGAUUGGUCGCGCCUUUGGUGUGUACUGGUCUUGCCGGUUUCUCCCUUCUGACGAACCACGAUGUCAUUAAUUUGGUGUCGUGGGGAAUCAGGACUGUUACUUUGAAAAAAUUAGAGUGUUUAAAGCAGGCAUUAGCUUGAAUACAUUAGCAUGGAAUAAUGAAAUAGGACGUUUGAUCUUAUUUUGUUGGUUUCUAGGAUCGACGUAAUGAUUAAUAGGGAUAGUUGGGGGCAUUAGUAUUCAAUUGUCAGAGAUGAAAUUCUUGGAUUUAUUGAAGACUAACUACUGCGAAAGCAUUUGCCAAGGAUGUUUUCAUUAAUCAAGAACGAAAGUUAGGGGAUCGAAGACGAUCAGAUACCGUCGUAG